AAUACAUAGCUGGGACACAUAUGUCCUGAUAGACUCCAAAAGGUUAAGGGCUAGAAAUCAGUUCAUUAACACGUACACAGCUGCGACGGUCGCAUAUGCUUAAUGAAUAGUAAGACUUGGUGAAUUCAAAUUGGAGAAGAAGACUGCAGAAGCGCCUCGGAAUAUAUAGAAACCCUGCGGCGGCGGCACAGUUGGUGAACACACAAGACGUCGUUGGUUUGAGAAAUUUCGUUUAGGUGACAGAAGCUUCCACGAACAAGAAAGCAGAGGGUGCAAACCAAUAGAAAUUUCGAAGACUGUGUUAACGCUGUGUGCGACUUACAGACGGUAGCAUUAAGGGAAACGUAGUUGACAUCGGAAAGAAGAUGUCAAGAAUCAAAUGAGGGGUAUAAGUCAUUGAUGACAUACUGUAGAGUGUUCUGUGGACACGCGAAGAGGAAGGCUACAUCUACCACCAAGUAUCAAGGGGUGACUUAUAAAUCGACACGUAGUAUAGGUCGGCUCGUAGGCGAACAAAUAUUUUAAUAUCGAUUGUGAACGGACAAACAGUGCAGAAUGAUUGAUAUUCAGAUAAGUGGAACCGUGCUGGUUUUUGUCAAAACAAACUGUAAACCAACUGAGAUUAUAUUCAUGAAGGAACAAGCAAAAUAGUUUGCAACACAAAUUUGUCUCUAAACGAUGUCAAUGGACAUGAAAUGAUCAUUUUACGGAUGGGAGUUAUAAUAAAAAUAUUGUUUGCUUUCUAUCUCAUUUGAGAAAACUAACUUUUGUGAGACUUUCUACUUGACAAUUCGUUAAUGUUUCUAAUCUUUUAAAAUGCACUAUAUUCUCGAUGAAAAUCUCGUGAAUAAGUGAUGCAGUGUUAAUUUUACCUUGAAAAGUCAGUCUUGCUCAACAGGUGUUUAUCAAAAGCUUACGCAUUUAUAAUAAAAAUGGGUUCGUGAAAGUUUAAGCAAUAAAAAUAUUUAAAGGAUUUGAGGACAUCUACGUAUUAUUUCCAGCUCAAUGAAAUUAUCAAAGAAAAAAAGAAAUUUUUAUGUGACACAUCUUAAUUUGACACACUUCAUCUUAAUUGAUGAAGAUAAAUUUUUUUUUUCCAUAAAAUGAUUUGCGGACUACUAAUGUAUGACCUAAAAUAAAAAAAAAAUGAUUUGAU